CAGAUUAGAGCUUGUACAUUAAGCGUUUUAUUUACACUAAGAAGUUAAUUGUGGAAAUCAAUUUGAUCUGA
rnacentral:tRNA from 1 species